rnacentral:rRNA from 1 species
AUGCUUAGAGAGAAACAAGCAAAAAGAGUCCAGACGACACUGCAGAAUGGAGAACUUGAAACUGGUAGAGGUUUGAAUCAAGAACUUGGACUUAAACGAGCUGGGGAUACUCGUUGGGGGUCUCAUUUCAGCUCUCUCUUGAAUAUGAUUGUUAUGUCCCCCUCGGUAAUUGAAGUUGUUGAUGAUAAUGCACAAAACGCCAGGAAAUCUCUUGAUAGGAUUAAAGCAAGGUGUUCUGGAUGCUAUUCAAACAUUUGA